UAAAAAGCUCGUAGUUGGAUCUGUGUAUCGGACGGUCGGUUCGCCGCUCGCGGCGUUUAACUGACCGGUCCGGACGUCCUGCCGGUGGGACCUGGUUCGCGCCAGGGCCCGUAACUCCCUCCGCGCUGCUCUUAACCGAGUGGUUCGGUGGGCCGGCACGUUUACUUUGAACAAAUUUGAGUGCUCAAAGCAGGCCUUAUGUUGCCUGAAAACUGUGUGCAUGGAAUAAUGGAAUAGGGCCUCGGUUCUAUUUUGUUGGCUUUUCUGAACCCGAGGUAAUGAUUAAUAGGGACAGACGGGGGCAUUCGUAUGGCGACGUUAGAGGUGAAAUUCUUGGAUCGUCGCCAGACGGACCGAUGCGAAAGCGUUUGCCAAGAAUGUUUUCGCUAAUCAAGAACGAAAGUUAGAGGUUCGAAGGCGAUCAGAUACCGCCCUAGUUCUAACCAUAAACGAUGCCAGCCAGCGAUGCGCCGAAGUUCCUCCGAUGACUCGGCGCGCAGCUUCCGGGAAACCAAAGCUUUUGGGUUCCGGGG
rnacentral:rRNA from 3 species